rnacentral:rRNA from 1 species
GAUGAACGCUGGCGGCGUGCUUAACACAUGCAAGUCGAGCGAGAAGUUUUGAAAAGAUUCUUCGGAUGGAAUUUAAAAUGGAAAGCGGCGGACGGGUGAGUAACGCGUAGGCAACCUGCCCCAUACAAAGGGAUAGCAUUUGGAAACGAAUAUUAAUACCUUAUGAAACUUAACUAGUGCAUGCUAGGUAGGUCAAAGAUUUAUCGGUAUGGGAUGGGCCUGCGUCUGAUUAGCUAGUUGGUGAGGUAACGGCUCACCAAGGCGACGAUCAGUAGCCGACCUGAGAGGGUGAACGGCCACAUUGGAACUGAGACACGGUCCAAACUCCUACGGGAGGCAGCAGUGGGGAAUAUUGCACAAUGGGGGAAACCCUGAUGCAGCAACGCCGCGUGAACGAUGAAGGCCUUUGGGUCGUAAAGUUCUGUUCUAGGUGAUGAAAACUGACAGUAACCUAGGAGAAAGCCCCGGCUAACUCCGUG